GCACCGGUGGUGUAUGGUACACACGCCGUCUCCGUGUGUGAUACAAGAGUUAAUCGGCGAGACGGGGUUCGAUUCCCCGCCGGUGCA